ACAUUUGGUUGCAGUUGAUUGCCAAUGCAGAGAACCGUUUAUUUGUGAUCGAAACGAUCAAUUUUGAGACCAUAAGGCUCUGCUCUAAACAUUUCAAUGAUCAAAGUUUUUGUACGGCGAAUAAUCAAAAAAGUCUAAAAAAGGAUGCUGUUCCGUCGAUCUUCGGAGCAUGCCCAGAAACACGCCUUGAAAGUGGAUACCGCAUAAAGCAACAAAUGGUAUGCGAUCAUGAAGCAGGAGAAGGAGCAUCCCAUUCGAAUUCAUUGGAACAGUCAAAAAGAGACGCCGUGGUGAGAAAUUUAAGACAGCGAUGUACGAGACAACAGGAUUUAAUAAAAAUAAAAUUUCGUCUGCGGAAAUUACAGCUGGCCAAUAGACGUUUCAGGACUCAGAAUGCCAGACUUAGAACAAGACUCUGUAAAACCGAGCAGCUAUU